rnacentral:rRNA from 1 species
AACGAACGCUGGCGGCGUGCUUAACACAUGCAAGUCGAACGGCAGCGCGGACUUCGGUCUGGCGGCGAGUGGCGAACGGGUGAGUAAUGCAUCGGAACGUACCUUUCAGUGGGGGAUAACGUAGCGAAAGUUACGCUAAUACCGCAUAUUCUGUGAGCAGGAAAGCAGGGGAUCGCAAGACCUUGCGCUGAUGGAGCGGCCGAUGUCAGAUUAGCUAGUUGGUGGGGUAAAGGCUCACCAAGGCGACGAUCUGUAGCUGGUCUGAGAGGACGACCAGCCACACUGGAACUGAGACACGGUCCAGACUCCUACGGGUGGCUG